UAGCAGCUCGAGCUAUGCAAGUUCAAUCCCAUAUUUGGGUGCUCUGACCAUCUUUUUUCAAUUACAGGAAUCCCAGGUUCCUUUACUUUGUUUUUCAUAUAUGAAAAAAGAGAGGAAGAAAUAGAUCAUGUACUUCAAGAUAUUGUCUCAUUUACAUGGAAAUUGAAGUCUGAUAUUUCUGGGAAAAUUUUCAGCUCUGCAAAAGACCGAUAAUAGACAGCAAAUUACCUGAUCAAACUUCUUCCUUAUCUUGAGAAGCUUUCUUAAGCAGGUUGUUGAAGUUGAAGGACUUCACCUUAUCCUUGUGUGUAACAUAUUCAUGGGAACCUUGCCGAAAGCCAUUUUUCUGUCUGAUCUGAUAUCAGGCUGCUGUGUGUCAAGGCAUUGUCUUUUGUUUGCUCUUCUCAUUUCUCUCCGCUUCCCCUCUUUUGCCAAUAUUACUAGAGUACAUUUGGCUCUCGCUGCACUGGUGUGAAUGGUUUUGUUCUGGUCCUAUAUUUGUUGGGGCAGAGGUGGAGGUAGAAACAAAUUUUUGUGUCUAUUGUGAUAUGUGUAAUUUUGCUGCUCCUGAAGAAUGUGGUUGCUUUUGUGUAAGGGCAGCUUUCCUCUAAUUUUACUUCAAAGUUAUAAUCCAGCAUCUUAAAUGUUUUCUUCUUUCAUGGUCUGCGUGCAUAGAAGCUUGCAGAGCUAUUAUUUGUUAUCUAUAAUUUUUUUUGAAUCUAUAACAAUUGUAGAAAGGUUGAUCAUGAUUGGAUGCUUAGUAUUUUGGCGUCUUGAUGUUUGUCUAUUAUUUCCAUUUGACCUUGAAAUGUUAAAGACUAAAAGAGGAUAAUUGUGUAUUUAUUUUUAUUGGGAAAUGUUUUGUUCUUUAAAAGUCUUGUUAAG
rnacentral:lncRNA from 1 species